CUACGGGAGGCUCCAGUCGGGAAUAUUCCACAAUGGACGAAAGUCUGAUGGAGCGACACCGCGUGCAGGAUGACGGCCCUCGGGUUGUAAACUGCUUUUAUUAAUUAGAAAUUUUGAUCAGUUAAUGAAUAAGUGGCGGCUAAUCACGUGCCAGAAGCCUCGGUAAAACGUGAGCCACAAGCGUUAUCCGGAAUUAUUGGGCGUAAAGCGCCCGCAGCCGGGUCAGUCAGUCGGAUGUCAAAACACAGGGCUCAACUCUGUGUCCGUAUCCGAAACUACUGAUCUAGAGCAAGUCAGAGGUGCAUGGAAUUCCUGGAGUAGGGGUGAUAUCCGUAGAUACCAGGAGGAACACCAAAAGCGAAGGCAGUGCACUGGGGCUUUGCUGACGGUCAGGGACGAAAGCGUGGGGAGCAAAAAGGAUUAGAUACCCUAGUAGUC
rnacentral:rRNA from 1 species